rnacentral:rRNA from 1 species
AGAGUUUGAUCCUGGCUCAGAGUGAUCGCUGGCGGCGUGCUUAACACAUGCAAGUCGAGCGGAUCUUUGCAGCGUAUCGCAAAGGUUAGCGGCAGACGGGUGAGUAAUACUUGGGCAAUCUGCCCUUGAGUGGGAAACAACCGGCCGAAAGGCUGGCUAAUGUCCCAUAAGACCACAGGGAUGCAUAUUCCAGGGGUCAAAGCUCCGCAAGGGGCGCUUGAGGAGGAGCCCGAGUCCUAUCAUGGUUGUUGGUGAGGUAAAAGCUUACCAAGCCUUUGACGGGUAGCCGGCCUGAAAGGGUGACCGGCCACACUGGCACUGAGACACGGGCCAGACUCCUACGGGAGGCAGCAGUGGGGAAUUUUGGACAAUGGGGGCAACCCUGAUCCAGCGACGCCGCGUGGAGGACGAAGGUCUUCGGAUUGUAAACUCCUUUUGAUGGGGAUGAAUGACCUGGUGAAUAGCCAGGAGUGACAGUACCCGUUGAAUAAGCCACGGCUAACUACGUGCCAGCAGCCGCGGUAAUACGUAGGUGGCAAGCGAUACUCGGAAUCACUAGGCGUAAAGCGCAGGUAGGCGGUUCGGUAAGUCUUUUGUGAAAGCUCCCGGCUUAACUGGGAGAGGUCAAGGGAAACUACCGGGCUAGAGAGUGGCAGAGGAAGCUGGAAUUCCCGGUGUAGCGGUGAAAUGCGUAGAUAUCGGGAGGAACACCUAUGGCGAAAGCAGGCUUCUGGGCCAUCUCUGACGCUGAGCUGCGAAAGCUAGGGGAGCAAACAGGAUUAGAUACCCUGGUAGUCCUAGCCCUAAACGAUGCUCAUUAGGUGUGGAAGGUAUCGACCCCUCCCGCGCCGAAGCUAACGCAUUAAAUGAGCCGCCUGGGGAGUACGGCCGCAAGGUUGAAACUCAAGGAAUUGACGGGGGCCCGCACAAGCGGUGGAGCAUGUGGUUUAAUUCGACGCAACGCGAAGAACCUUACCUGGCUUGAACUACUCGCGGUAGUUCGCUGGAAACAGU